ACCAGCAACUAAAACAGGAACCAUUAAAUGAAUAUUAUACACAGCAAUAACAGCAUCAAAUAAUGGAAAUAAUGGACCCUAUUGCUCAAAU